rnacentral:tRNA from 1 species
GAGCCAUAUGGCAUAGUGGUUAAAUGCUUGCACUGCCAUUCACAUGGUCAGGAGUUCGAGCCCCCUGUGGGUCA